UCGGGAAUUUUGGGCAAUGGGGGAAACCCUGACCCAGCAACGCCGCGUGAAGGAUGAAGUAUUUCGGUAUGUAAACUUCGAAAGAAUAGGAAGAAUAAAUGACGGUACUAUUUAUAAGAUCCGGCUAACUACGUGCCAGCAGCCGCGGUAAUACGUAGGGACCAAGCGUUGUUCGGAUUUACUGGGCGUAAAGGGCGCGUAGGCGGCAUGACAAGUCACUUGUGAAAUCUCUGGGCUUAACCCAGAACGGCCAAGUGAUACUGUCGCGCUAGAGUGCAGAAGGGGCAAUCGGAAUUCUUGGUGUAGCGGUGAAAUGCGUAGAUAUCGGGAGGAACACCUGUGGCGAAGGCGGCCACCUGGUUGGAUACUGACGCUGAGACGCGAAAGCGUGGGGAGCAAACAGGAUUAGAUACCCACGUAGUCCCUGAGCGGGCUGGCAAGGCGCAU
rnacentral:rRNA from 1 species